AGAGUUUGAUCCUGGCUCAGAAUCAACGCUGGCGGCGCGCUUAACACAUGCAAGUCGCACGAGAAAGUGGGAAACCAUGAGUACAGUGGCGUACGGGUGAGUAACACGUGGGUAAUCUACCUCUGAGUGGGGAAUAACCCUGGGAAACCGGGGCUAAUACCGCAUAAUCUCGAGAGAGGAGAGCAGCAAUGCGCUGAGAGAGGAGCCCGCGGCCGAUUAGCUAGUUGGUAGGGUAAGAGCCUACCAAGGCAGAGAUCGGUAGCCGGCCUGAGAGGGCACACGGCCACACUGGCACUGAAACACGGGCCAGACUCCUACGGGAGGCAGCAGUGGGGAAUCUUGCACAAUGGGGGAAACCCUGAUGCAGCGACGCCGCGUGAGCGAUGAAGCCCUUCGGGGUGUAAAGCUCUUUCGUCAGGGAAGAUGAUGACGGUACCUGGAGAAGCAGCUGCGGCUAACUACGUGCCAGCAGCCGCGGUAAUACGUAGGCAGCGAGCGUUGUUCGGAGUUACUGGGCGUAAAGGGUGUGUAGGCGGUUCUUUAAGUUUGGUGUGAAAUCUCCCGGCUCAACCGGGAGGGUGCGCCGAAUACUGAGGGACUUGGAGUGCGGGAGAGGAAAGUGGAAUUCCUGGUGUAGCGGUGAAAUGCGUAGAUAUCAGGAGGAACACCGGUGGUGUAGACGGCUUUCUGGACCGUAACUGACGCUGAGACACGAAAGCGUGGGUAGCAAACAGGAUUAGAUACCCUGGUAGUCCACGCCCUAAACGAUGCAUAUUUGGUGUGGGUCAUUCAGUUGAUCCGUGCCGGAGCUAACGCGUUAAAUAUGCCGCCUGGGGAGUACAGUCGCAAGGCUGAAACUCAAAGGAAUUGACGGGGCCCGCACAAGCGGUGGAGCAUGUGGUUCAAUUCGACGCAACG
rnacentral:rRNA from 1 species